rnacentral:tRNA from 1 species
GCUUGAUAAUUUAUAUAAAAUAUUUACCUUGAAAGUAAAAUAAAGAAACUUCUUUAAGCUUA